UCAGUACCUAGAGGAGCUGCCUACAAGGAACAUUGAGGAGCUCCUCGCACCAUCCUUUUGCCCCCUGUGGCCUCAAGGGGACUGUUCCAGCCCUGACUGCCAUCGCCCCAUUGACUCCUGCACCUGGUGCCCUGCUCACAUUAAAAGGUUCAAACCUAGCAAUGAGAGGAUGUUGAUUCUAUAACCCUGGCAGAGAAAGGAGAAACACCUGAGACUAAUGAGCACUGGAUGAAAGCUCCUGUGCACUUCAGCUGUGGCUUCCACCAAGGUGCCUGUAUUUGGAGAAGAGGAUGAGCAGAGGGCUGUGCAGGCUCAGAGGAGCUGAAGGCUCGGGUGCCACCUAGUGCUGCAGGAGCCGGGGAUGGCCGCAGCUCUGCCCCACCUCUGCUCGGCCAGCCUCGGGAGAUGAAUGAGCCGCCUGGAAAUGCACCAUGAACCCAUUUCCCCCUGAACUUCACAGGAUUUGGAUGAAUUGCUGAGAAACUCUGGGCUGGAGUUGCAAGAGGAAUGUGUCAUAUAUGUAUACAUGUAUAUACACACACACAUGAGACAUCACAACAGAUUGAACUUUAAGGAUCUGAUUCUUUACCUCAUAACGUUGUUUGAAAAUGAAGAGAUUAAGAAAUGUUUUCUGAUGAGAGAGUAGUGUGAGGAAAAAAGAAUAAACUCAUCAUGCUUCAAUUAAAAUAAGCAUCUAGGAGUUUGGGAGCUAAUCCAAAUGUGGAGGAAUCUCUUGAGGCUUCAGUGUAAUCUGGAUUUCCAAGUUUUGCAACUUCUUUCACUGUUUUGGCUCUUUCAUUCAUGAGCUCCAUGCAAGAACCCUACUGAACUGGGAAAAUAAGGAAAGGAGCAGAUUUCGUUUAUUUCUUUUAAACUUAGGGUGCAUUGCAAGUUGGUGGGAGUUUAGCAGCUCUUUAAAUUUGUUCACACUCUUACUGGGUAUUUUUUUGUUGUUUUUUAAGGGGGAUUGAAUGGCUAAAUGUGAUUUAAGGGUACAAUGUAGGAGCUGAAUCAUCACAGGUGUCAGUUUUGAUCUGCAUCAGAAUGUGAUGCCACCAUGAUAAGAGAUUGCAAUGAACCUAGAACUUCUUAAAACUUGCUUGACUGUAGGUGAUGUUGGAAUUGGGAGCAAAUGUGCUUUUAAAGAAGAGUUUUGUAAACAGCUUUAUAAAUAUGGGCACAACCUUACUUUCUGUACCCUGAAGGUAACUGCCUUCUUUUUGAAAGGAAAUUAAAAUGGAAGAAAUAUCUGUAAGUACCUCUGACACCUCUUCAAUGUAUUUUUGGUCUCUUUUCUAGCAGAGCUUCUUAAAAUACUAAAAAAUCCAUUGCUGUUUUCCCAACAGCUGUUCAAUAAAUGGUCUCUGAAAGUUG